rnacentral:piRNA from 1 species
UAAAUACCACAAGAGGCACAGUGUGGGU